rnacentral:rRNA from 1 species
AUUGAACGCUGGCGGCAGGCCUAACACAUGCAAGUCGAACGAGUGGCGGACGGGCGAGCAAUGUCUGGGAACCUGCCUGAUGGAGGGGGAUAACUACUGGAAACGGUAGCUAAUACUGCAUACCAUCAGAUGUGCCCAGAUGGGAUUAGCUAGUUGGUGGGGUAACGGCUCACCAAGGCGACGAUCCCUAGCUGGUCUGAGAGGAUGACCAGCCACACUGGAACUGAGACACGGUCCAGACUCCUACGGGAGGCAGCAGUGGGGAAUAUUGGGCAAUGGACGAAAGCCUGAUGGAGCCAUGCCGCGUGUGUGAAGAAGGCCUUCGGAUUGUAAAGUACUGUCAGCGGGGAGGCGUUACCCACAGAAGAAGCACCGGCUAACUCCGUGCCAGCAGCCGCGGUAAUAC